rnacentral:rRNA from 1 species
GCACAGCGGUGGAGCAUGUGGUUUAAUUCGAUGCAACGCGAAGAACCUUACCAGGUCUUGACAUCCAGAGAACCCUGUGGAAACACGGGGGUGCCUUCGGGAGCUCUGAGACAGGUGGUGCAUGGUUGUCGUCAGCUCGUGUCGUGAGAUGUUGGGUUAAGUCCCGCAACGAGCGCAACCCUUGCUAUUAGUUGCUAACAGGUUAAGCUGAGCACUCUAAUGGGACCGCCCGUGGCAAGCGGGAGGAAGGUGGGGAUGACGUCAAAUCAUCAUGCCCUUUAUGAUCUGGGCUACACACGUGCUACAAUGGAUGGUACAGAGAGCAGCGAAGCUGUGAAGUGGAGCGAAUCUCAAAAAGCCAUUCUCAGUUCGGAUUGUAGUCUGCAACUCGACUACAUGAAGUCGGAAUCGCUAGUAAUCGCGAAUCAGCAUGUCGCGGUGAAUACGUUCCCGGGC